AAGGGAGGGCCUCAGGACUCAGGUGGUGACCCUAACACUUUGGAGAGUCUCACACCCGUCUCCUUUGCCCACAG
ensembl:miRNA Mir6955 microRNA 6955